rnacentral:rRNA from 1 species
AAAAGGCUUAGUGGCGGGCGGGUGAGUAACGCGUGGGUAACCUGGCCCAUACAGGGGGAUAACACUUAGAAAUAGGUGCUAAUACCGCAUAACAACAGAAAGCGCAUGCUUUUUGUUUGAAAACCAAGGUGGUAUGGGAUGGACCCGCGUCUGAUUAGCUGGUUGGCGGGGUAAAGGCCCACCAAGGCGACGAUCAGUAGCCGGCCUGAGAGGGUGGACGGCCACAUUGGGACUGAGACACGGCCCAAACUCCUACGGGAGGCAGCAG